rnacentral:rRNA from 1 species
GACGAAGGAUGCAAGCGUUAUCCGGAUUCAUUGGGUUUAAAGGGAGCGUAGGUGGCCUUAUAAGUCAGUGGUGAAAUCUCUCGGCUUAACUGAGAAAUUGCCAUUGAUACUGUAGGGCUUGAGUACAGUUGCUGUGGGCGGAAUAUGACAUGUAGUGGUGAAAUACAUAGAGAUGUCAUAGAACACCGAUUGCGAAGGCAGCUCACAAAAACUGUAACUGACACUGAGGCUCGAAAAGUGCGGGGGAUCAAACAGG